rnacentral:lncRNA from 1 species
CCCUGCUGUGUGUCAGGACUUCAUGCAGGGCUCAGCGCAGGGCCUGGUGUUCAGUGAGUGUGUUGGCCUGUGUCCUGCAGACCACUGUGCUGUCCCCUGCCCAGAUCUAACUGCAGCCCAGAGCCAUCUUUCUCACUUCCGGACCCCAUAUCUGCCGUCACCUGGACGUCUCCCCUGGAAUGUCCGCAGCAUCAGCAUGGAGGACCAAUCACCUCACAGCCCUUUGAAGUUGCCGCUCCUCCCCUGCUUCCUGCCCAAGGAGAGGGUGUGCCAUCCAUCACCUGUCCGGAGGGGGAGCCUGAGAGCUGUGCUCGUCACCACCUCCGCCCUCUCCUUGCCCCACAGUGAGGCCCAGCUGUGCCCUCACUGGAGCUCCUCGUUUGGUCCAGCUCCCCCGGCCCAGUCCAGUACUACCCGGGGGGCCCCCUCUGCCCUGGGCCCAGAAGCAGACUCCCCACCGUUCCCCUUCCUUGCUCGUUCUUUCUGGGUCUCCUCCCUGUACCAUCACCACUGCAGCCCUCAGCCUUCCCGGGACAGCUCUGACCCCUCGGGCUGCUUCCCAUUCAGGGGUCAGGGAGGUGACCAGGGCCUGUGAGGAGCCACCAUCCAGUAACUGUCACCUCUUUACUGCCUCAGGCAAGUUGCACCACACCUGGCCCUCAGUUUCCUCAUCUGUGUAAUGGGGUUGGUGUGCAUGUGAUGCCCAUGAUUGGCAGAGGUUCAGAAGAGGUGGGGUGCCCAGUUUUCCCUCUUGGGUGUAUAUUUGUGUACAGCAGGUUUCAGGAAUUACAAGGUGACACAGGGUGAAUGCAAGGUCCUUCCAGUAUUUGCAGCUUUAUUCAAUGUAUAGGGGAAGGGGGGCCGGAUUUAAUUUAUACUGAGCCAAAUGUGGGCAUGUGGAAUGGGGUGUAAAUCUCAAACCUGUGUGAGCACAAGCGUGUUCCCAGCUGUCAUCCUUGAUGCCACGCCUGCAGCAUUUUGGGGGUGCAGCACUGGCAUCUCCAUACCUGGGGGCUUUCUGAGGCUGCAGAAGCCCAGUCUGUCCAGCCCAUGUCGGCAAGAACGGCUGGAGGUCGGGGCUGGAUGCUGCCUGGGCUCCAGGGCUGCCCUGUGGCUGGGUGUCCAUCGUGCGCAGUGGUGACAGUACACGGCUGUGACUUGUUUCCUGGGAUCCUGUCUCUCCCACAUGAUCCUGGCUGCAGCACCAGCCUCUGGGAGAUGUGAACAAAGACAGAAGCUACCACAGCUGGCAGCAACAAGCAGAACAGCAUAAGACAAUGGAAAGGACAUAGCCAGCUCUCUAAUCAUUUUUCAUGCUGCGUCUUCUCCCAAUCCGCUCGCAUCCGUGCAAGGCACUAAUUACAGCUGGCGGGGUGGAGGCUGAGCCAGGCUGAACAGCCUCCCUGAGACCUCACCGCAGGGGCCUCGAGGCCCACGGCCACUCCGUUGGGUGCCCUUUGGUAUGGAAGAAGUGGAGACAUGAGGCUGAGGAAGGGUGACCCAGGGGUCUCUUGCAAAGCUGGACAGGGUUAGGUGACACAGAGGCCUUGUUCCGCCCAUUCCUCCCUUGUCACUCUUUCGAGGCACUUGGCCCUUUCCGCUGAUUGCUCUUCCCCACUGGAUGUGACACAGCACACAAGGACCUCAGUCUGCUGGAGCUGAAGAGGAUGGACGAAGCAGCAGAAAGACGGCUGUGGGUGGCUGUCCAGAGGUGAUGCCUGCUCCCCACUGCCAGGCAGGAUUUCUCAAGACAAACUUGCAGUGCAGACAAUGUGUACCAAUUUUUAAAUCGUGGCCACU